rnacentral:lncRNA from 1 species
GGAAAGCUAAUACACGUCCCCAGAACUCCGUUUGCAAGAAUAUUCUGUCGUCGAAGAGGACGAAGACUCCAAAGUCACCGAAGUAAGAGUUCUUUGCUGCUUUUCUGUGCGAGCCAAGUUUUCAAGAUUUUCAGUUGCCUUGCCGCUAAUUUUCCUUUUCGUCCUGCAGGGCUACUGAGUGAAUCUUGAAUAAGCUGGGACAGUGUGUGUCUAGUUUACAGGACAACAUGAUACGUUGACAGCACACUCCUGACGUACAUGGUUUAUCACGUAGUUCUGACACGAUAGUUCACUACCCUUUUGAGAUUUUUCCGAUGCAUUUGCAUGGCUUCCGGUGAAAGUUUCUAUUCACAUUUCGUGAGAAUUGGACAUGACUUAGGGGGAACUUUUUAAUACAGAAUUUGUUUCUUCUCUGUUCCAGUGAAGUUGAAUGUGGUGAAAUGAAGGUCGUUACGUGCUUGCAGUUUGACAAAGGCC